rnacentral:tRNA from 1 species
UGUGAUAUAGCCAAGAGGUAAGGCAAAGGUCUGCAAAAUCUUUAUCCUAGAUUCGAAUCUGAGUAUCAUCUC